rnacentral:rRNA from 1 species
GACGAACGCUGGCGGCGUGCCUAAUACAUGCAAGUCGAGCGGACGACUUUUUGGUGCUUGCACCAGAAUUUCGUUAGCGGCGGACGGGUGAGUAACACGUGGGUAACCUACCUUGUAGACUGGGAUAACUUCGGGAAACCGAGGCUAAUACCGGAUAAUACUUUUAAACACAUGUUUGAAAGUUGAAAGAUGGUCUUGCUAUCACUACAAGAUGGACCCGCGGCGCAUUAGCUAGUUGGUGGGGUAAUGGCUCACCAAGGCAACGAUGCGUAGCCGACCUGAGAGGGUGAUCGGCCACACUGGGACUGAGACACGGCCCAGACUCCUACGGGAGGCAG